rnacentral:lncRNA from 10 species
AUGGAAGGUAGCCAUGAGCCCCUUGUGGCUGCUAGAACACAUGAAAUGUGGCUAGUAUGAUUGAGGAACUGAAUCUUUCCUUUCAUUUUAAUUAAUUUAAAUUUAAAUGGCCACAUGUGGCUAGUGGCUACCAUAUUGGACAGCACAGCUCUAGAUGCAUUUCAGUGUUAUUCCCAUGAGAUUCCCAAAUAAACUUCCUGCAUGCAAAUCUCCAUCUCAGCAUCUGUUUCCCUGAGGAGGAACCAACCUAAAAUGAAUUGCAAAUUAAAAUCUCAAAGUGAGUCAAAGCAACCAGAAUUUCCCUUCCCAAGGAGUAUCAGCUGUGACCCUUAUGAUGGGUGAGGGCAUGUCGGUGAUGAAACUAUCACUACUGUUCAAGGUGCCAGAAGUUUGACUUACCAUCGCUUUUGAACAAUCAUCACUACAUGUCAGCGUGGGAAAAAGAAUAAAAUAACAUCUUAAUAUUAUUAUGAA